UGUAAUUGUGCAAAGUGUACCAUUUAAAUUUACUUUUAAAAUGUAACUUAAAACUUUUUUUCCAUAGCUUACAAGUUUGACUAAGCAGAAAAUAUGAAGAUACUUAUACUUGGACAAUUGAGCAGUUACUCCUCCCUGUCAGGAACAUGAGGAGUGAUGAAAUAAAUGGCUAAGGAUUGACAGGACCCUGGUUUUUGUAUGUCAUCAGACAUUUAUCUCACCAUUAGAUCCUCUCUGAUUGGAAGACAAAGUCCAUCUUCCUUAGAAUGUUGUACAGAGACCAUCCACCUUCAGAUGAUCAUGCAACAAAGAUUCCAGCAAGUUCCAGGUGAAGACACCACACCUCACCAUCAAGAAGCUACCUUGUCUCCACUAGACAGAGGAGGAAUUGUUGG
rnacentral:lncRNA from 13 species